rnacentral:rRNA from 1 species
CACUCCUACGGGAGGCAGCAGUGGGGAAUAUCGCACAAUGGGCGCAAGCCUGAUGCAGCCAUGCCGCGUGUAUGAAGAAGGCCUUCGGGUUGUAAAGUACUUUCAGCGGGGAGGAAGGCGAUAAGGUUAAUAACCUUGUCGAUUGACGUUACCCGCAGAAGAAGCACCGGCUAACUCCGUGCCAGCAGCCGCGGUAAUACGGAGGGUGCAAGCGUUAAUCGGAAUUACUGGGCGUAAAGCGCACGCAGGCGGUCUGUCAAGUCGGAUGUGAAAUCCCCGGGCUCAACCUGGGAACUGCAUUCGAAACUGGCAGGCUAGAGUCUUGUAGAGGGGGGUAGAAUUCCAGGUGUAGCGGUGAAAUGCGUAGAGAUCUGGAGGAAUACCGGUGGCGAAGGCGGCCCCCUGGACAAAGACUGACGCUCAGGUGCGAAAGCGUGGGGAGCAAACAGGAUUAGAUACCCUAGUAGUCCCAUGAU